UGAGGUAGUAGGUUGUAUAGUAA
rnacentral:ncRNA from 4 species